rnacentral:lncRNA from 1 species
AUCAUGUAUAUGUUCAGGGAUAUACGGCAUGAUAUUGUAAGAAACUAAAAGUCCACACAGGAUGCUGUGUUACCCGUUUUUUUCCUACAAAAAGGCUGGGAAACGUUUUUCAAAUGGAUUUGCUUUGAGACAAUUUCAAAGGAUAUCAAAUAUUAAUCUGUUUGGAGCACAAUUCUAAAUGUAACAAUUUAUGCAUGUUUGUGUAAGCGCAAUUAAUUGCACCAAUUACGUAAACAAACCUGAAUUGAGAAAUAGGAUUGAAAAGAAAUAGUAAACUUCAUAGACUUAAACAUAUCCAAAAGGUAAUACACUUCAACAAUGUACACGGGAAUGAUAUUUUUUCAUAUGCAUGUAUAACCAACCACAUGUAUUGAUAUGUACAAUGUACUAUAGAAAAUGUUUUAUCAUCACGUUUUAGUAUGGGUUAAGCAUAUUUUAUUGUUCAUUCAACAUUUUAUUUGACC